GAUGAACGCUGGCGGCGUGCCUAAUACAUGCAAGUCGAGCGAACAGACGAGGAUCUUGCUCCUCUGACGUUAGCGGCGGACGGGUGAGUAACACGUGGAUAACCUACCUAUAAGACUGGGAUAACUUCGGGAAACCGGAGCUAAUACCGGAUAACAUGUUGAACCGCAUGGUUCAAUAGUGAAAGACGGUCUUGCUGUCACUUAUAGAUGGAUCCGCGCCGCAUUAGCUAUUUGGUAAGGUAACGGCUUACCAAGGCAACGAUGCGUAGCCGACCUGAGAGGGUGAUCGGCCACACUGGAACUGAGGCACGUUCCGGACUCCUACGGGAGGCAGCAGUAGGGAAUCUUCCGCAAUGAGAUAAAGCCUGACGAAGCAACGCCGCGUGAGUGAAGAAGGUCUUCGGAUCGUAAAACUCUGUUAUUAGGGAAGAACAAAUGUGUAAGUAACUAUGCACGUCUUGACGGUACCUAAUCAGAAAGCCACGGCUAACUACGUG
rnacentral:rRNA from 1 species